UGUUUCCACAUGUUCCCGUUCAGAGAGGCUUCUGUGUCAUCCUGUGAUGAGUCAGUUGUGCAGCCCCGUAGAUCUGUGUCAGGUCUUCUUCCUGAAUGUGUUUUACUUUUUCUACUGGUGGCAGCAAGACUGGAACUGCCUUUGAAGUGUAAGAACUACAGGAGAAGUCAGGACUCGUUCUUGGUAUUUACUGUGCAUUCCUGGAGGCAAUUUCAAGCCAAACGACACAAGGCUCAGAUCAGCCAGGGACCUCCACGCAGGAAGGGCUGCAGCUUACGCUGGGCUCCCCCCUGUUCACAUUAGCAAAACUUAUUUUGUGCCUCAGGAAUAUGAUACUAAGUCAAACAUCCUACAGUAAGAAACCAUUGACA
rnacentral:lncRNA from 1 species